rnacentral:rRNA from 1 species
AGAGUUUGAUCCUGGCUCAGAACGAACGCUGGCGGCGUGCUUAACACAUGCAAGUCGAACGCGAAAGGGACUUCGGUCCUGAGUAGAGUGGCGCACGGGUGAGUAACGCGUAGAUAAUCUGUCCUUGUGUCUGGAAUAAUACGUCGAAAGGUGUACUAAUACCGGAUAUUCUUGCUUUUCAUAAGUUAGGUGAGCAAAGGUGGCCUCUGACAUAAGCUACUGCACAAGGAGGAGUCUGCGUACCAUUAGCUAGUAGGUGGGGUAAUGGCCUACCUAGGCUUCGAUGGUUAACGGGUCUGAGAGGAUGAUCCGUCACACUGGCACUGGAACACGGGCCAGACUCCUACGGGAGGCAGCAGUGAGGAAUAUUGCGCAAUGGGGGCAACCCUGACGCAGCGACGCCGCGUGAGUGAGGAAGGCCUUCGGGUCGUAAAGCUCUGUCAAAGGGAAAGAAGUGCAUGUUGGUUAAUACCCAUCAUGUUUGACGGUACCCUUAAAGGAAGCACCGGCUAACUCCGUGCCAGCAGCCGCGGUAAUACGGAGGGUGCAAGCGUUGUUCGGAAUCACUGGGCGUAAAGGGCGCGUAGGCGGUUUGUUAAGUCAGAUGUGUAAUCCCCGAGCUCAACUUGGGAACUGCAUCUGAGACUGGCAGGCUAGAGUACUGGAGAGGGUGGUGGAAUUCCUCGUGUAGCGGUGAAAUGCGUAGAGAUGAGGAGGAACACCAGUGGCGAAGGCGGCCACCUGGACAGUAACUGACGCUGAGGCGCGAAAGUGUGGGUAGCAAACAGGAUUAGAUACCCUGGUAGUCC